UUCAAGUCCAUUAGCUAAAGCACAACCCUAAAUACAUAUAUAAAGGAAAAAUUAGUAAAUUAGGGUUUUCACAAAUAAUAAAAGCCGCUUCUUCCUCUUCUUUAAUUCAACGCUUCUUCUUUAUUUCUUCUUCAUGUUUCUAUCUUUCUACUUCAUUAUGGUUCGAUGUUGCUAUUUUGCUACGUACCAUCUAAAGAUACCCCUUUUUGCUAACUAUGAAGUCAGCAAAGAUUUCAAAGAAAAAGAAGAUCUUGGCAAAUCCACUGGUUUCUCUAUCCCACCGCCACCGCUUCACCUUAUCCCACCGCCAUUCCUCCGCUGUCUUUUAACUACAACGCAGCUCUUCUAAUUGAUGAAAUCCAGAUUGCUAAAGAAAAGGCACAAGGUUCUCUACUCAAUAGUGUUGAUAAUGGUCCUUCUUAUGAUUAUAGUGACAGAUCUAGUAUUUAGCUCAUCUGGUUUGUUCUUUCAAAGAGAAGAUGUAUUGAAAGCAACGAUGUUUGUCUAUUUUGGUUUAGGUUGAUAUUGUAGAUAUUUAAUUUUGGUUUGUAAUCUUAACCGAUUUGAUCCGGUUUGUAUUUAGAAUUCAUUACUAUUUUAAAAGAAAAAGAAUUGUAUUUUUGUUUAAUUAAUUUGAAAAAAAAAUUACAAAUUUUAA